AAAACAUAACUUAUCUAUAUAACUUACUAGCAAUAGUUGAAACACCAGUUAAAUACUCUAUGUGAAAGUGUGAGAAACACAAAUGGAAAAAACAGAGGAACUAGAACCACAAAAACUUCAAAGUCCAGUUCUGCAAUCUACUGAUGACUCUUGAUGUGUUUUUCUGUUCCUUAGUUUUUUCAUCCACAAAUUAUACAAUUAUAUUCAAAGGCAAUUAUAAAUAUUGAAAGUUAUGUGUUUAUAAUACUUAGAAAAACUUCUAGGCAUAUAGCAAAUUUAGGAAUAGGUAAUUGUUAUUAGAGUAUCUCACUUCGAUGUGUAGGGCAGUAGUUUUUUCUCAUUUUAGUUUUCUUUGUAGGACUCCUUUCCUUGGAGUUUUAGUGCUCGAUAUAUCUUCAAUAAAUGGAUGAAUACCAUGUGUCAGCCUUGAAAAUGGUAAGCUCUUCUAUCAAAGUGUAUCCAGAGUUGACUGACAUCUUUCUGAAAUUUCCACUCUGUCUAAAGCACAGCGUCUCCUCUUGGAGCCUCGCAACAUUGCAGCUCUCCUCUGUGAUUUUAUUUCCAGCCCUGAAUGGUCUAUGUUUUCUACAGCAGCCAAAGUAAUCCUUUUUAAAAUUUACAUCAUAUUAUGUCACUUUUCCGUUUAAAAACUCCCAGUGGCUCCCAUUCUGCUUCAAACAGAACUCAAUUCUUCCCUUGGAAUAGAAGGUCCUGCAUGGUCUGACUCCAAUUAUAACUCUGACCUCAACCUCUACUCUUUUUAAUCACAUGGAUCCUGCAUGUUUGUAUCUUAGGGCCUUUGCUCUACAGUUCUCUCUGCCUGAUAACCACAGGGCUCAUUCUCACUUUAGAAAAUCUUUAGAUACCACCCCCUACAUAAAAUAGCUCCAGUAUUUUCUAUACCUUACCCUCCUUAAUUCCUCUUUACAGCAUUUACCACUUAACAUUUUUAAGUUUUCAUCAUCUAUCUCCCUCCCCUAGAAGGUAUGGUUCAUGGCUAUAGGAACUAGUAGUCUCAGUCCAUGCUAUAUCCCCAGCUGGCAAAAACAGAAGCUCAAGAAUUGUUUUAAAAUGAGUAAGUGGGUGAAUAAACAGAUAAAGAAGAAACUAAUGAAAGAAAAC
rnacentral:lncRNA from 12 species